rnacentral:lncRNA from 1 species
AUUUCAUUUUUUAUUCUCCAUUGGCCAUGGAAUAUUUUAAUAGAUUUUAGGAUUUAAAUAGCUUAAAAAUAAUGGCAAAUAUGUCAAAUUGGGAAAUCUUAGUUUAAUCUCCAAUAGAAAAGAAGCAAGAAAAUUUAAUCCCCUGACAUUACUUAGUCAACCGGAAGCUUCUUUGAUCCUUGGGUAUUAUGAUUUGAAAGAGUAUCUAAAAAAGAUGUAUGUGGAAUUAUAUUUCAUUAUAUCAAAAAUCCCCGUGUGCUCAUAGGAAAACUCCCUCUCUGCACACCCACGAACAUCCUCAGUUAUUGAGCUCUGCUUCUCUAUGGGUGGGAAUGUCACGUUUGGAAAGGUACAGUGUUUUCAUUGGGUAAUAGCAACAGGGACAAAAGAGGGCAGUCCCAGCUAAAGAGAUGACUUUACAUCUAAUCUGUUAUCUCUUGAUGAUUCCUUAAUUAAAUAUUGUCAAAUGAAAAGUAUCAGAAUUUACACCAAUAUAACCCAUUUUAAAAUGCUUGUGAAUUAUUCAGUUUUUACUUUCAAAGCAGAAACAUCAAUACAAUUUCUUGUUGAACUUGGCAACAGGUUUCAAUUUCUGUUGCUAUAUAGUAUAGGUUGAUAGUUUUGUAAUUUAAAGAAAAAAAACAUUAAAAUCUUUUUCUUUCUGUGGAUCUUUUAUUUACUUUUUUCUUUUUGGUGAGAUUGAUACAUUAGGUAAGCUCAAUAUGGUAGAGGAUUUCUUGCACAAAAUUGAGCUUUGUAUAAACCUUGACUAAACUAAACCUCACUGAAAUUGGGAUGUUUAAUGCUGAUUUUUUAAAAGAAAACUUCAGCCAGAAAAUACAUUGUUGUCAAAGAAAACCUUGCCCUAAGAACAUCGAUCCUAUCAAUACUACCUACUAUUUAUUUGUUGUGCGAAAUUUUCUGCAUCUGUCAUGACUUAGGCUGCUCAUGUCCAAGUUAAUCAAGGGGUAGAAAAAGAAACAAGGUUAAAACUAAUAUUGGUAAUCAAAAACUGAAGAAGUAUCCAAUAAAAACAGAUAGUUUUCUAUAUAGUUUUAAAGGCUUUGAUCAUGUGCAUGUGUGUGUGCAUGUGUGUAUGAUAUAUAUGUGUGCAAAUUGCAUCUAUGUGCUAUGAUAUAGUUAUAGAGAUCAGAAGAUAACUGUGAUAGUCAAUUCUUGCUUUCAAUCAUGUGGUUCCUGGGGAUUGAACUUGGUUAAGGCUUAGUGCCAAGUGUUUGCCAGUUUAGACAUCUUGCUGUCAUUUUAUAGGCAUUCUUACUAGAAAAUAUUGUGACCCAUCAGAAAAAAGAGGGGUAGUCUCUGUAUAGUCCAUCCUUUUGUCUUAGCUCCAAACUUUGUCUCUGUAACUCCUUUCAUGUGUAUUUUGUUCCCUUUUCUAAGGAGUAAUGAAGUGUCCACCCAUUGGUCUUCCCUCUUCUUGAUUUUCUUGUGUUUUGCAAAUUGUAUCUUGGGUGUUCUAUGUUUCUGGGCUAAUAUCCACUUAUCAGUGACUGCAUAUCUAAUGACUCCUUUUGUGGUUGGGUUACCUCACUAAGGAUGAUAUCCUCCAGAUACAUCCAUUUGUCCAAGAAUUAGCUGCAUAUGUAGCAGAACAUGGCCUAGAUGGCCACCACUGGGAAGAGAGGUGCCUUGGUAUUGCAAACUUUAUAUGCCCUUGUACAGGGAAUGCCAGGGCCAGGAAGCAGGAGUGGGUGGGUAGGGGAGCAGGGUUGGGGGAGGGUAUAGGCAACUUUUGGGAUAGCAUUUAAAAUGUAUAUAAAGAAAAUAUCUAAUU